rnacentral:rRNA from 1 species
CAGCCGCCGCGGGAAAACGUAGGGUGCGAGCGUUAAUCGGAAUUACUGGACGUAAAGCGUGCGCAGGCGGUUAUAUAAGACAGAUGUGAAAUCCCCGGGCUCAACCUGGGACCUGCAUUUGUGACUGUAUAGCUAGAGUACGGUAGAGGGGGAUGGAAUUCCGCGUGUAGCAGUGAAAUGCGUAGAUAUGCGGAGGAACACCGAUGGCGAAGGCAAUCCCCUGGACCUGUACUGACGCUCAUGCACGAAAGCGUGGGGAGCAAACAGGAUUAGAUACCCCGGUAGUCCCUGUCUCUUAUAC